CAGUCGCCGCGGGAAUACGUAGGGUGCGAGCGUUAAUCGGAAUUACUGGGCGUAAAGCGUGCGCAGGCGGUUGUGUAAGACAGGUGUGAAAUCCCCGGGCUCAACCUGGGAAUGGCGCUUGUGACUGCAAAGCUAGAGUGCGGCAGAGGGGGAUGGAAUUCCGCGUGUAGCAGUGAAAUGCGUAGAUAUGCGGAGGAACACCGAUGGCGAAGGCAAUCCCCUGGGCCUGCACUGACGCUCAUGCACGAAAGCGUGGGGAGCAAACAGGAUUAGAGACCCGCGUAGUCCCUGUCUCUUAUAC
rnacentral:rRNA from 1 species